rnacentral:rRNA from 1 species
AGAGUUUGAUCCUGGCUCAGGAUGAACGCUAGCGGCAGGCUUAACACAUGCAAGUCGAGGGGCAUCGGGAGGGAAGCUUGCUUUCCUUGCCGGCGACCGGCGCACGGGUGAGCAACACGUAUGCAACCUGCCCUCUUCAGGGGGACAACCUUCCGAAAGGGAGGCUAAUCCCGCGUAUAUCGGUUUCGGGCAUCCGAGAUCGAGGAAAGAUUCAUCGGAAGAGGAUGGGCAUGCGGCGCAUUAGCUAGACGGCGGGGUAACGGCCCACCGUGGCGACGAUGCGUAGGGGUUCUGAGAGGAAGGUCCCCCACACUGGUACUGAGACACGGACCAGACUCCUACGGGAGGCAGCAGUGAGGAAUAUUGGUCAAUGGGAGAGAUCCUGAACCAGCCAAGCCGCGUGAGGGAAGACGGCCCUAUGGGUUGUAAACCUCUUUUGUCGGAGAACAAAACCCGGGACGAGUCCCGGACUGCGUGUAUCCGAAGAAAAAGCAUCGGCUAACUCCGUGCCAGCAGCCGCGGUAAUACGGAGGAUGCGAGCGUUAUCCGGAUUUAUUGGGUUUAAAGGGUGCGUAGGCGGUCCGUUAAGUCAGCGGUAAAAUUGCGGGGCUCAACCCCGUCGAGCCGUUGAAACUGGCAGACUUGAGUUGGCGAGAAGUACGCGGAAUGCGCGGUGUAGCGGUGAAAUGCAUAGAUAUCGCGCAGAACUCCGAUUGCGAAGGCAGCGUACCGGCGCCAGACUGACGCUGAGGCACGAAAGCGUGGGGAUCGAACAGGAUUAGAUACCCUGGUAGUCCACGCAGUAAACGAUGAAUGC